rnacentral:rRNA from 1 species
UACGAAGGGGGCUAGCGUUGCUCGGAAUCACUGGGCGUAAAGGGCGCGUAGGCGGCCAUUCAAGUCGGGGGUGAAAGCCUGUGGCUCAACCACAGAAUUGCCUUCGAUACUGUUUGGCUUGAGUUUGGUAGAGGUUGGUGGAACUGCGAGUGUAGAGGUGAAAUUCGUAGAUAUUCGCAAGAACACCAGUGGCGAAGGCGGCUCACUGGCCCGAUACUGACGCUGAGGCACGAAAGCGUGGGGGAGCAAACAGGG